CAGCAUGGUCUUAGCUUGCUAAGGCCGAUGGCGACCGGCGCACGGGUGAGUAACACGUAUCCAACCUGCCGUCUACUCUUGGACAGCCUUCUGAAAGGAAGAUUAAUACAAGAUGGCAUCAUGAGUCCGCAUGUUCACAUGAUUAAAGGUAUUCCGGUAGACGAUGGGGAUGCGUUCCAUUAGAUAGUAGGCGGGGUAACGGCCCACCUAGUCUUCGAUGGAUAGGGGUUCUGAGAGGAAGGUCCCCCACAUUGGAACUGAGACACGGUCCAAACUCCUACGGGAGGCAGCAGUGAGGAAUAUUGGUCAAUGGGCGAGAGCCUGAACCAGCCAAGUAGCGUGAAGGAUGACUGCCCUAUGGGUUGUAAACUUCUUUUAUAAAGGAAUAAAGUCGGGUAUGGAUACCCGUUUGCAUGUACUUUAUGAAUAAGGAUCGGCUAACUCCGUGCCAGCAGCCGCGGUAAUACGGAGGAUCCGAGCGUUAUCCGGAUUUAUUGGGUUUAAAGGGAGCGUAGAUGGAUGUUUAAGUCAGUUGUGAAAGUUUGCGGCUCAACCGUAAAAUUGCAGUUGAUACUGGAUAUCUUGAGUGCAGUUGAGGCAGGCGGAAUUCGUGGUGUAGCGGUGAAAUGCUUAGAUAUCACGAAGAACUCCGAUUGCGAAGGCAGCCUGCUAAGCUGCAACUGAC
rnacentral:rRNA from 1 species